CAGUCGCCACGGGAAUACGAAGGGUGCAAGCGUUACUCGGAAUUACUGGGCGUAAAGCGUGCGUAGGUGGUGGUUUAAGUCCGUUGUGAAAGCCCUGGGCUCAACCUGGGAAUUGCAGUGGAUACUGGAUCACUAGAGUGUGGUAGAGGAUGGUGGAAUUUCCGGUGUAGCAGUGAAAUGCGUAGAGAUCGGAAGGAACAUCUGUGGCGAAGGCGACUAUCUGGGCCAACACUGACACUGAUGCACGAAAGCGUGGGGAGCAAACAGGAUUAGAUACCCCUGUAGUCCCUGUCUCUUAUAA
rnacentral:rRNA from 1 species